CUGUACCCGUCGUUGUGGCAGAGAUAUGAGGAUAAUGUGUACAGGAUAUUAGUGUAUGAGCCGGGGAGUUAUAUGAUCACUGUGGAUCUCGAGCGCAGUAAUAAACAGCAGCAUCUUCUGACUUUACUUCUCUUAUCUCCAGAACGCUGCUCAGAACACCAGGAACAUGAAGUUAUUCAUUUACCACUGGCUUUGGAUAAUAAUAUCAGUUGAUAUAAUACAAUGCCAGAAGAACAAUACAGUGACGCAGAUACCCUCCUUACUAACAGAACAUGAAGGACACUUUGUCACUCUUCACUGUACAUAUGAAACCUCAUCAAACCCAUACAUAUUCUGGUAUAGACAGAGACCUGGCCAGUACCUGGAGUAUAUAGCUAGGGCUGACUAUGCAGGCCUUCACUUUGUAGAGGAAACAUUCCGCAGUAGGAUCUUUAUAAAACAUUAUAAAACAAACUCCACAGCUCCACUCACGGUGACUGAUCUUCUCAUGGAAGACACUGCUGUGUAUUUCUGUGCACUGAGUCCCACAGAGGUUCUUUUAUCACCAAUGAAUAUACAGAAACUGUGCCAAUGCACCAUAAGCAUGUAUGGUAACUGAGUAACAUUCACAAUGCAUCCGGGCCCCAUCCAAGAAAG